rnacentral:lncRNA from 1 species
UAAAUAUAAACCCAACCCAAUUAUUUAUUUCAGAUUGGUCCAAGCUGAACCCAAUCUUUAAUUCCAAUCCAAUCAAGUCAUACAUGAAACCUAUACCAUAAUAACCAAAUCAAAGUCCAAACCUAACCUCAAUCAUGCACAACCUAAUCCAACAACUUCUCUAUACCAAGUCUUUGGAAACAAACUAUUUCAACCCGAUUCUCUAGCAUAUAAAACUAGAGCCAAACCACAACCAUAUUCAAACUCGAUCAAAUUCUAAAUAUAUGCUUAGAAUUGAUCAAAUCGUUUUAAUCGAUUGGACUCUAAUACAUAUACUUAGAGUUCAUAUGUAUAAUUAGAGUUUAAUUUAAAUCAAUUUUGGCUAAUCCUAAUAC